ensembl:lncRNA
AGAUAAUGUCCUCCGUAUUCAUCCAGGUUAUAAAAAUGGCAAGAGUUCCUUACUCGAAUGGUCGAAGAGUAUCCACUGUGGGCCUCCUCGCUUGGUGGGACCUCAUCAGUCAGUUCCUGCGUUGUUCUUGUGCUUCCGGGAUCACAUCCCAGCAUCCCUGUCCUGGCUACUGUGAUGGAGUUCUCCUCUCCUCUCUCUUCCAGUAGCUUCCCAAUUUGAAUUUUUACACUGAAGUGUUUAUUCCACUUUGAUUUGAUUUUUCUGUAUGUUGUGAGAUACAGUUUCAUUUCAUCCUUCUGCAUGUGAUUAUCCAGUUUUCCACGUUCUCUGCUCUGUGUUCUUGGCAUCAUGAAAAACAAAUUGGAUAUGUGGGUUUAUCUUGCGGUUGCCUAUUCUAGUCCAUUGGCAGACGGGUCUGUUUUGAUCCUAGUUUCAUGGUGUUUUGGACACUGUAACUUCGUAGUAUAUUUGAAGUCAGGCACUACUGUCUGCAGGUGCUCUCUCCCAGCUGUGCGCUCUUUCUGCUCAAGAAGGCCCAUUGAAGGUCUUUUGUGCUUUGUGCCCAUGUAAGGAUUUUCCAAAAUAUAUAUUUCUGUGAAAUAACUUGGUAUUUUAAUAGGGGUUGCACUGAAUCUGCAGACUGCUCUGAUCUGCAUGUUUCUAAUGAUAUUCUUUUGGAUUGGUUGUUUUCCACAGAGAUGAACUCUUAAUUUAUUGUUGGGUAAAUAUAAUCAGGAUUUUUUUUUUUUUGAUUCUUUUUUUUCGGAGCUGGGGACCGAACCCAGGGCCUUGCGCUUCCUAGGUAAGCGCUCUACCACUGAGCUAAAUCCCCAGCCCCUAAUCAGGAUUUUUUAAUCUUUUCCUUUUUCUCUUUUGAGUUGGGUUGAGUGAUCUCACAUUCAGUUUGUGGUUUACUUCACAAUUUUCAGGAGCCCAGGCAGCCUCCUAGUCAGCUAUCUGCUGUUCCUGAGUCCUCAGCCUCUCUGACUCAGCCUACCCAGACAGGAAGUUUCCUUCCUUUGAUUGUGUUAGGAUGGUGCAAACUUUUGGCACUUCUGUUUGAGGGAGACUGUAUUCAGAAGGUCUCUAUAGAAACUUCAACUAAACUUUCCUAUUUUCCACUCCACCUUGCCCUGUGCCUCCUGGGAUUUAAGGCUUUGUAGUAUUGUAUGUGAAUACAGACUGGAUUUUUAACUUUCUGCUCUGCCAGCAUAGGACUUGGCAUUCUCCAGAAUAUCCAAAAUGUUGCUAUCUUGUUGGUUGUGGGUUCCUUCAAGUUUUCUUACACUUGUGUGUUUUGGACUUUUGUAUGAAUUCACUGUCACUUUCAUGAGAAGUCAGGGGUUCGAAGGCAUACGUGAACAUUCAGUCUGCAUUCUUCUCAGUACUGGAGAUUGAUUUCAAGUGUUAGGGAAGCAUUCUACCACUAGGUUGUAUCUCCACCCUCAAUUUGCCAUAUUUAAUUGGCCACAGUUUGUGUCUACACACACACACACACACACACACACACACACACACACACACACCCUGCUUGCUGCAGCACCUCUGUGAAGUCAGAGUUGUUGAUUCUCUUCUAUCAUGUGGAUUCUGGGAAUAGAACUCAGAUUAGGGCCUCUACCCACUUAGCUAUCUUACUACCUCCAAAGAGUCUCCUCUCUCUCUCUCUCUCUCUCUCUCUCUCUCUCUCUCUCUCUCUUUCUCUCUCUUUUUCUCUCUCUCUCUUUCUCUCUCUUUCUCUCCCUCUCUCUCUCGCUGACAUUUAUGUAUGUUCAUUUGAGAACAUGCAUCUGUGCCAUGGAUCACACGUGGAGGUUAGAAAGACAAUGUUUUGGCAUCAUCGGAGCCCAAUUCUCCCACCAAAGCAAACACGGAAUAUCCAAACACACCAGAAAAG